rnacentral:ncRNA from 1 species
UUUGGGAGAGAGCUGAUAUAUCAGCCACCGAAGGGGCGAAACUCUCAGGUAAAAGAACCGAGCCGG